AUCCUUUCCUGCCCAUCACUGGAGAACUUGUUCAUAUCUUGGUGUGACCUCUGCCUUGCAUCUUCGUGCAGCACCCACAUGGUAGAUGUGCUCUGGUCUCACCAACCUCUUCAAAAUUGCACUCAUUCUUGGAGACAGUAGAGCAGAGUGCAAAGAACAUAACUCUGGAGGCAACAGUCCUAAGAAAUCCAGCCCUCAUUGUUGAGCUGUGUGUCCUUGGAGCAUUCUUUCUUUGAGAAAAUGACCAGAAUGGGCCCUUUGUUACAUGCAUCUGAAGCAAUCACCUGCCUCUUGUUUGGGGAAACCUUGAUGUCACUACUAUUGUCUUCAAAGCAGAUGCUUCCC